rnacentral:rRNA from 1 species
ACUGCUAUCGGAGAGAGACUAAGCCAUGCGAGUCGAACGCCCUUUAACCACUUGGAGGGCGUGGCGAACGGCUCACUAACACGUAGUCAACCUGCCCUGAGGACGUAAAUAACCCCGGGAAACUGGGACUAACCUGCGGUAGGUGAAUAUUCCUGGAAUGGGUCUUCGCCGAAAGAGGCCGGCGAGCAUGUUUCGCCGGUCCUGCCUCAGGAUGGGACUGCGGCCGAUCAGGUUGUUGGUGGGGUAAAGGCCCACCAAGCCGAUAACCAGUGCGGGCUUUGAGAGAAGGAGCCCGGAGAUGGACACUGAGAUAAGGGUCCAGGUCCUACGGGGCGCAUCACGCGCGAAACCUUCGCAAUAUGCAAAAGCAUGACGAGGCUACUCCGAGUGCCCUUCGCUGAGAAGGGCUUUUCCCAGGCGUAAAUGACCUGGGGAAUACGGGGAGGGCAAGUCCGGUGUCAGCCGCCGCGGUAAUACUAGCUCCUCGAGUGGUCGGGACUAUUAUUGGGCCUAAAGCAUCCGUAGCCUGCUCCGUAGGUCUGCUGUUAAAUCCAACGGCUCAACCGUUGGGCCGCACGAGAUACCACGGGGCUAGGAUGCGGGGGAGGCCGACGGUACUCCAUGUGUAGGGGGUAAAAUCCUCUGAUCCAUGCAUGACCAUCACUGGCGUCGUCAGUCGCCCAGAACGCGCUCUACGGUAAUAUAUGAAAUCUGGGGGAGCGAACCGGAUUAGAUACCCGGGUAGUUCCAGCUGUAGUCGAUGCGGUCUAGGUGAUGGAGCGGCUAUGAGCCGCUCCGGUGCCGCAGGGAAGCCGUUAAGCCCGCCGCCUGGCGAGUACGGUCGCAAGCCUGAAACUUAAAGGAAUUGGCGGGGGAGCACCACAAGGGGUGAAGCCUGCGGUUCAAUUGGAGUCAACGCCGGGAACCUUACCGGGAGCGACAGCAGGAUGAAGGCCAGUCUGAAGACUUUCCCAGCCGAGCUGAGAGGAGGUGCAUUGCCGUCGCCAGCUCGUCCCGUGAGGCGUCCUGUUAAGUCAGGCAACGAGCGAGACCCUUCCUGGUAAUUGCUAGCUGGCGUCGAAAGACGCUAGAGGCUAGUUACCGGGACUGCGGUUGCUAAAGCCGAGGAAGGAAAGGGCCACGGCAGGUCAGUAUGCCCCGAAACUCUUGGGCCACACGCGGGCUGCAAUGGUAGGGACAAUGAGUUCCGACCUCGAAAGAGGAAGGCAAUCUUCAAACCCUACCUCAGUUGUGAUUGAGGAUUGAACCCCGUCCUCAUGAAUAUGGAAUCCCUAGUAUCUGCGUGUCAUCACCGCGCGGUGAAUACGUCCC